AUUUACGGCGGGCCAUUGAAACAUUCUGAAGAAGAAGUAGUAAGUAUUUGACCGCACCAAAAUUUCAUCUCCUUGGGCCUUGGCAAAGGGAAAAAUGAAAUGAAGAGCUUUAAUUUACCAUAAAUGUCCCUGCCCCUCAAGUCUCAACCUCCGCCUCUUCUUUGAGCAUUUACUGAUGUAGAUGACCUCCCAACGGCUUUCAGAAAUUCUCCUUUAUUUUCUCCACUAAUUUUCCUUCUAGUCAAACUGCGCUGUAAGGACACCAACCACUCUCAUGCUCUUUCGAUCAAGCUUUCAUCGUCAUCAAGUUUUAUUUAUUUAUUUAUUUGUUUAUUUUCUUUUCGUUCUGUUACUGCUGUACCGUACAUCCGCCUUGGCCGUACAGCAGUCCUUUUCUGGUUUUUGGUUUUUGGUUUUUCAUCCUUUCUUCAAUACAUCAAUGUUUAUUAAUCAUUUUGGCGGAUAUUUUUAACAUCGUUGUUCAUGUAUAAAUGUAAUUAGCUGUAGGCAUAGCUUCCGGUAACUAAUUACAUGAUAUAAAUUUUUGUGUCUGCUAUUGUUUUUUCUCCUUUCUUUCUUGCGGCAUGCUUAGAUUGUUUUAUUUCAGAUUGGAUUUACAUUUUUGAGUUCCCUAUUGCUAUGCUUUUCUGUAGUUGUGAAAUUAGUUAAGGCCAAGUAGUUGGUGCAUGAUAAAAUAAUGAAGGAAAAAAAAGAGAGAACAAAAACUCUGUUAAUUAUAAUUUAAUAAUAUGAAUUACAUCGGUUUUUAAUAGAAGCGAACAUAAGGCUCGGCUCGUAGAAUUAAGGAGCAGAAACAAUAAUAUAAAGAAAAAAAAAGGAAAAAAACUAAAAAAGGAAAUAUCCUAAAAUUUGAAUAAUUCUAAUUUCCUGAUUCUAUGGGAUCGGAUUCCUAACUUUCCUACAAAUAUCCUGUGAUUUUCCUGACUGCCAAAGUUGUAAAGUUCAUCAGUAUUCCUCAGUUAUAGAACUCAGAAAACGUGGAAAUGCUGGCGGAUUUUUGGGUAUCAAAAAAGAAAAAGGAUGUGAAAUUUAGUUUCUCUUCUGGCAGGUACCUUCAAAUUUAUUAGUAAAUGUAUUGAUGGCAAAGGGUUCUCAGGGACAAAACGUUACUUCGUAGCCAACUUGCACUUAACACGAAAGAGAGGAAGCUGAGGCGCUCUCUCUCAGAAUUUCAACCGUAUUUAUUAAUUUUUUUUUCUCUUUUAUUUCCGUUUAGCCAAACUUCAGUAUUUCAUUUGAAAUUGCAGAGCAUUUACGGCGGGCCAUUGAAACAUUCUGAAGAAGAAGUAGUAAGUAUUUGACCGCACCAAAAUUUCAUCUCCUUGGGCCUUGGCAAAGGGAAAAAUGAAAUGAAGAGCUUUAAUUUACCAUAAAUGUCCCUGCCCCUCAAGUCUCAACCUCCGCCUCUUCUUUGAGCAUUUACUGAUGUAGAUGACCUCCCAACGGCUUUCAGAAAUUCUCCUUUAUUUUCUCCACUAAUUUUCCUUCUAGUCAAACUGCGCUGUAAGGACACCAACCACUCUCAUGCUCUUUCGAUCAAGCUUUCAUCGUCAUCAAGUUUUAUUUAUUUAUUUAUUUGUUUAUUUUCUUUUCGUUCUGUUAACCAAUCUCUUGUUUUAUUCGCAGA
rnacentral:lncRNA from 1 species